rnacentral:rRNA from 1 species
GACGAACGCUGGCGGCGUGCCUAAUACAUGCAAGUAGAACGCUGAAGAGAGGAGCUUGCUCUUCUUGGAUGAGUUGCGAACGGGUGAGUAACGCGUAGGUAACCUGCCUGGUAGCGGGGGAUAACUAUUGGAAACGAUAGCUAAUACCGCAUAAAAUGGAUUAUCGCAUGAUAAUCCAUUGAAAGGUGCAAAUGCAUCACUACCAGAUGGACCUGCGUUGUAUUAGCUAGUUGGUGGGGUAACGGCUCACCAAGGCGACGAUACAUAGCCGACCUGAGAGGGUGAUCGGCCACACUGGGACUGAGACACAGCCCAGACUCCUACGGGAGGCAGCAGUAGGGAAUCUUCGGCAAUGGACGGAAGUCUGACCGAGCAACGCCGCGUGAGUGAAGAAGGUUUUCGGAUCGUAAAGCUCUGUUGUAAGAGAAGAACGAGUGUGAGAGUGGAAAGUUCACACUGUGACGGUAUCUUACCAGAAAGGGACGGCUAACUACGUG